rnacentral:rRNA from 1 species
UACGGAGGGGGCUAGCGUUGUUCGGAAUUACUGGGCGUAAAGAGCGCGUAGGCGGUCUGCCAAGUCAGGUGUGAAAGCCCAGGGCUUAACCCUGGAACUGCAUUUGAAACUGGCAGACUAGAGAGUGGUAGAGGAUAGUGGAAUUCCCAGUGUAGAGGUGAAAUUCGUAGAUAUUGGGAGGAACACCAGUGGCGAAGGCGACUUUCUGGACGAUAACUGACGCUGAGGCGCGAAAGCGUGGGGAGCAAACAGG